GCUCAGGGGCCUCUGGGAACCACUAAUCAGAUGGAGGAGACUGGCUUCCUCGGCAACCACAGACCACUUUUCAAACAUUUCCAUCAAUUAAACGCCAUUACCAGCUUGGGAAUAUGACAGACACCCACAGAAAACACUUGUUAUCAAACCGUACCACUAAGAUAGGCAACUUCACCAGCAGACGGAGAGAGCUCUUCAGUCACUCCUGAGAUACCUGGAAAAGCCACAGGCGGUGUUGCCCCAGCAACAUUCUAGAAGAACAAUUCUUGACCCAGAUGAGAGGGGAAGGCAGGCGAUGUGAAAUUUAUAAAGCAGAAUGAAGCUGACCCAGGAAGAGAUGGUGUAACUGUGCAGCUGUCAGACCGCUCGUUCUUCACCCUGUGCAGUACUUAGAGCAAUUCUAAAUCCCAGGCUGGGCUGUUGUACUGUUUUAACCGGGCUGAGCUUCCGUCGCCUGCCCGCAUAGGGUGCAGAGAUACAAGCCAAUUCAGCAAGAUUUCCAGUAUAGGGGGACCAGGGCUCCUUGCUCCCCAAGGGCCAUGCAUGAAACACAAAGGAGCCGGCAUUAGUGACGAAGGUUGAGAGGUCUCCAAGGGAUGUGAGAGCUGCAGUCUAGACCAAUAAACCUCCUUCCACAGUGAGCAAAUGGGUCCAGAUUCGGGAUGGCCACACAUGACUUGAAAAUGCCACCUAGGACCUAGAGGACCUCAGAGACCACCAACACAAUGAACAGGGCCUGCUGGCAAGGAUCCAAACACCCUUCUUCCAAAUGUUAUGAGGUCACCCACACCCUCUAGACAGCUUCUCAGAUAAAAGAGAGAAGGGCAGAGAACUCUGGAAGGCUGAACGGCAUCCAAGUCAAAAUUACAUAAACUCAGAUUAUUCAGAGACAACCCAUCUUCAUUUUUCUCUGAUGGCUCUCAUCUCCCUUUUGAGACCUUACACAUGGUCAGCAGGAAUAAAACCUCACAUUUAGUCUCAUCAGAUAAAGGUAGAUGAUUUGAUGGAGACAUUAACAGAUUCUCUUUGGAUGAUGCCACCGUUAAUAUGGGUUUAUGUAAUUUUGUGAUCUUGCUCUGGAGGUGUCUGUGUGCAUACAAGUAUCUCCCUCCCUCUCACUCUCUAACACAAACACACACACACACACACACAACUAAGUGAGAGAAAGGGAGAUUGGACCAUAAGGAUACCAAUAUUGGAACUGAUUCUUCCUUGAAAAUUGGUUUCUAGAAACGUUAUUCUUUUUUUCUUCUUUGAAUUCUAUGAAUGCUGAUUCAUAUCUUCUAAAUUUAGCGCAAUAAACCUACUUUUAAAAAACUU